GACGAACGCUGGCGGCGUGCUUAACACAUGCAAGUCGAACGGUGAAGCGCCUUCCUUUUUGGUGGGUGUGGAUGAGUGGCGAACGGGUGAGUAACACGUGAGUAACCUGCCCCCUUCUUAUGGAUAACCGCAUGAAAGUGUGGCUAAUACGGGAUAUUCUGGGUCUGUCGCAUGAUGGGUCUGGGAAAGAUAUUGUUUCGGUGGGGGAUGGGCUCGCGGCCGAUCAGCUUGUUGGUGGGGUGAUGGCCUACCAAGGCGGUGACGGGUAGCCGGCCUGAGGGGGUGGACGGUCACACUGGGACUGAGAAACGGCCCCGACUCGUACGGGAGGCAGCAGUGGGGAAUAGUGCACAAUGGGGGCAAGACUGAUGCAGCGGCGCCGCGUGAGGGAUGGAGGCCUUCGGGUUGUGAACGUCUUUCGCCAGUGAAGCAGGCCUGCCUCGUUUGUGGGUGGAUUGACGGUAGCUGGAUAAGAAGCGCCGGCUAACUACGUG
rnacentral:rRNA from 1 species